AAGGAGUGUAACAUGCUCGCGAGUGUUUGGGUGGUAAACCCGAGCGCGUAAUGAAAGUGAAAGUUGGGACCUCUGUCGUGGAGGGCACCGACGCCCGAGCCUGAUGUUUUCGGACGGCCUCGCGGUAGAGCGAGUAUGUUGCGACCCGAAAGAUGGUGAACUAUUCCUGAGGAGGGCGAAGCCAGAGGAAACUCUGGUGGAGGCUCGUAGCGUUUCUGACGUGCAAAUCGAUCGCAGGACUUGGGUAUAGGGGCGAAAGACUAAUCGAACCAUCUAGUAGCUGGUUCCUGC
rnacentral:misc_RNA from 1 species